rnacentral:rRNA from 1 species
CGGACGGGUGAGUAAUGUCUGGGAAACUGCCUGAUGGAGGGGGAUAACUACUGGAAACGGUAGCUAAUACCGCAUAACGUCGCAAGACCAAAGAGGGGGGCCUUCGGGCCUCUUGCCAUCGGAUGUGCCCAGAUGGGAUUAGCUAGUAGGUGGGGUAACGGCUCACCUAGGCGACGAUCCCUAGCUGGUCUGAGAGGAUGGCCAGCCACACUGGAACUGAGACACGGUCCAG